CGCAUCUGUGCAUGCAGCAUAUCAAUAAGCGGAGGAAAAGAAACUAACAAGGAUUCCCUUAGUAACGGCGAGUGAAGCGGGAAGAGCUCAAAUUUGAAAUCUUCAAGGUUUUACCUUGACGAAUUGUAGUUUAAAGAAGUGUUUUCUGUUGAAGUUUUGGUAAAAGUUCUUUGGAAUAGGACAUCAUAGAGGGUGAGAAUCCCGUAUUUGACCAUUAGUUUUCAGCUGUGUGAUACACUUUCAAAGAGUCGGAUUGUUUGGGAAUGCAGUCCAAAAUGGGUGGUAAAUUUCAUCUAAAGCUAAAUAUUGGCGAGAGACCGAUAGCGAACAAGUACCGUGAGGGAAAGAUGAAAAGAACUUUGAAAAGAGAGUUAAACAGUACGUGAAAUUGUCAAAAGGGAAGCGUUUGACACCAGUGUUGUUUUCUCGAAAAUCAAUUAAAAAGAGUUUGAUUUUGUUGUGUAUUGACCUUAACAGCUUGCAUUUCAAUUUUCUUGCUUUUUUUAAUGCACUUUUCGUUUAACAAGUCAACAUCAGUUUCUUUUGUUGUAAAAAGGUCAUUGGAAGGUGGCUUUCUUUUCGGAGAAAGUGUUUAUAGCCUUUGACUCCUGCAAUCGGAGAGACUGAGGUCUGCAGCGUAGAUCCUUCGGGGUUAGAUACAUUUGUGCUAAGUUAUAGCUUUUUAUAGACAACUUGUUGACUAUGAUUAGUCUUGUAGCUUACUCGCUUAUGCUAUUUUACCUACGCUUAGGAUGUUGACACACGCGCGUGCUCG
rnacentral:rRNA from 1 species